rnacentral:lncRNA from 1 species
CCCCCCCCCCCCCCCCCCCCCCCCCCCCCCCCCCCCCCCCCCCCCCCCCCCCCCCCCCCCCCCCCCCCCCCCCCCCCCCCCCCCCCCCCCCCCCCCUGCCUUGUGCUGCUCUGUGCCCUGUGCUGCCCUGUGCUGCUCUGUGCCUGUCCUGUGCCCUGUGCUGCCCUGUGCUGCCCUGUGCCCUGUGCCUGUCCUGUGCCCUGUGCCGCCCUGUGCCUGUCCUGUGCCGUUCCCUGUGCCCUGUGUCCUGUGCCGCCCUGUGCCUUGUGCCCUGUGCCCUCCCUGUGCCCUGUGUCCUGUGCCGCCCUGUGCCUUGUGCCCUGUGCCCUCCCUGUGCCCUGUGUCCUGUGCCGCCCUGUGCCUUGUGCCCUGUGCCCUCCCUGUGCCCUGUGUCCUGUGCCGCCCUGUGCCUUGUGCCCUGUGCCCUCCCUGUGCCCUGUGUCCUGUGCCGCCCUGUGCCUUGUGCCCUUUGCCCUCCCUGUGCCCUGUGCCCUCCCUGUGCCCUGUGCCACCCUGUGCCUUCUGCCCUGUGCCACCUUGUGCCCUGUGCCACCUUGUGCCUUGCCCUCCCUGCCCUCCCUGCCUGCCCUGUCCUGCCCUGCCCGGGAGCAGCCCCAGGAGCCUGUGGGGCACUGCCAGCCCAAGCCCUUGGCACAGAGCUGUGCCCACACUGUCCCUGCUCUGUUUGGGGCCGCUGCCUUCAGAGCCCGCUGCUCUCCGGGCGCUGCCGUCGCUGCCCUGGUUUGGACUGAGCUCCCUGGUUCUGCCUUCCCCUGGGCAUUGCUGAGCUGUUUGCUCUCCUUCCCCGGCUCAGGGCAGGUGCCACAGGAGCCGGAGGUGCUGGUCACAGCUCACGUGUGGCUCUGCCAGGCCCUUGGUGGCACUGCCUGCUCUCCUGGCCGUGCAGGUGGCACACACGGUGUCACAGACUUGCCGGGCAGCCCUAGCCCUGCCUGUGAGCAGAGCUGGGCUCAGCUGCUGCCAGCAGCUCUCCCUCCUCCCGGGACCGUGCCCAGCUCUGCCGCCUCCGAGUCUGCCUCGGCCGUGGACUUGGCAGCACUGAGCCAGCUGCACAAUUGGGAGAAUAAAUGCAAACCAGUAUUUUGGUAA